GACGAACGCUGGCGGCGUGCCUAAUACAUGCAAGUAGAACGCUGAAGGAGGAGCUUGCUUCUCUGGAUGAGUUGCGAACGGGUGAGUAACGCGUAGGUAACCUGCCUGGUAGCGGGGGAUAACUAUUGGAAACGAUAGCUAAUACCGCAUAAGAGUAGAUGUUGCAUGACAUUUGCUUAAAAGGUGCAAUUGCAUCACUACCAGAUGGACCUGCGUUGUAUUAGCUAGUUGGUGGGGUAACGGCUCACCAAGGCGACGAUACAUAGCCGACCUGAGAGGGUGAUCGGCCACACUGGGACUGAGACACGGCCCAGACUUCUACGGGAGGCAGCAGUAGGGAAUCUUCGGCAAUGGACGGAAGUCUGACCGAGCAACGCCGCGUGAGUGAAGAAGGUUUUCGGAUCGUAAAGCUCUGUUGUAAGAGAAGAACGAGUGUGAGAGUGGAAAGUUCACACUGUGACGGUAUCUUACCAGAAAGGGACGGCUAACUACGUG
rnacentral:rRNA from 1 species